rnacentral:rRNA from 1 species
CUUGCUUCUCUUGAGAGCGGCUGACGGGUGAGUAAUGCCUAGGAAUCUGCCUGGUAGUGGGGGAUAACGUCCGGAAACGGACGCUAAUACCGCAUACAUCCUACCGGAGAAAGCACGGGACCUUCGGGCCUUGCGCUAUCAAAUGACCCUAGGUCGGAUUAGCUAUUUGGUGGGGUAAUGGCUCACCAAGGCAACAAUCCGUAACUGGUCUGAAAGGAUGAUCAGUCACACUGGAACUGAAACACGGUCCAAACUCCUACGGGAGGCAGCAUUGGGGAAUAUUGGACAAUGGGCGAAAGCCUGAUCCAACCAUGCCGCGUGUGUGAAGAAGGUCUUCGGAUUGUAAAGCACUUUAAGUUGGGAGGAAGGGCAGUAAAUUAAUACUUUGCUGUUUUGACGUUACCGACAGAAUAAGCACCGGCUAACUCUGUGCCAGCAGCCGCGGUAAUACUUAGGGUGCAAGCGUUAAUCGGAAUUACUGGGCGUAAAGCGCACGUAGGUGGUUCGUUAACUUGGAUGUGAAAUCCCCGGGCUCAACCUGCGAACUGCAUUCAAAACUGACCAGCUAUACUAUGGUAGAGG